rnacentral:rRNA from 1 species
UGGGGAAUAUUGGACACUGGGCGAAAGCCUGAUCCAGCCAUGCCGCGUGUGUGAAGAAGGUCUUCGGAUUGUAAAGCACUUUAAGUUGGGAGGAAGGGCAGUAAGCGAAUACCUUGCUGUUUUGACGUUACCGACAGAAUAAGCACCGGCUAACUCUGUGCCAGCAGCCGCGGUAAUACAGAGGGUGCAAGCGUUAAUCGGAAUUACUGGGCGUAAAGCGCGCGUAGGUGGUUCGUUAAGUUGAAUGUGAAAGCCCCGGGCUCAACCUGGGAACUGCAUCCAAAACUGGCGAGCUAGAGUAGGGCAGAGGGUGGUGGAAUUUCCUGUGUAGCGGUGAAAUGCGUAGAUAUAGGAAGGAACACCAGUGGCGAAGGCGACCACCUGGGCUCAUACUGACACUGAGGUGCGAAAGCGUGGGGAGCAAACAGG